AGAUAAAUGUAAAACCCACGUACCCACACAAUUCCUAUCCUAAACUGUUGCCUCCAAAGAUUUUUCACCAAAAUUUUCUUCCCACUUCGCCACUUUAACUUCAUUGAUCGGUGGUUGCGAAAACUAGUUCCAAUUUGUUUAACCUCAAUUUUUCUGGUAAAUACUGUGGUUGCAAUCCCAACGUUUGUCCAUGAAUCUACUACAAAUUUUGAGUUCUUCUUCGAGCCGUUGUCAAGCUUCCUUAAAGGUUUAGCCAGAAAGUAAGGCUCCCUGGUACUGUGUGUGGGAAAACUAGACAAAUACAUACUCGGUGUUCAAUCAUUUGGUUGAGAUGGUCAUAAUUUUGAGAAGAUUGAUUUAUUGGAAGAAAAAGAGAUGAACUACCCUCAUGAUGCUCUCCAGGUAAAUAUGUUUGUCAUUUACUUUAACGUUCUUCAACUUUGGGCUUGUAUGAAUGAUGCCGAGUAGGAUAGUGAUUAUCCUAUUGGCUUGUUGUAGCAGAUGAUUCGCAAGAAAAGAACGACAGAAAAUGUCCAAAAAACCAGAUAAAAUACUCUGAAUUCAACUCAAUAUUAUUAAUAAUGCCGGAUGUUCAAAAUUAACCCACAA